GGGGCUGUAGCUCAGCUGGGAGAGCACAUGACUGGCAGUCAUGAGGUCGUCGGUUCGAUCCCGUCCAGCUCCACCA
rnacentral:tRNA from 1 species